rnacentral:lncRNA from 1 species
GCCUACCACAUGUUAAAUAUCAGCCUCUCAACAAUGCCAUGAAACCUUCAAACUGUUCCACCUAGCAAACCACUAAGUGGCUAUGUUACUGGUUGCUUAACCCUGUGUUAGCGUUACUAGUUGCAGGUGCAGUUGCUACCAUGUGAUAACAUGGGUUCCUUGUCAUAUCACCAUAUUAAUGCUAUUUAAUUUAAUGCACAUAUAUACUUGGUAAAAGGUGGAAGGCUCGGCCUUUCUAGCCUGGUGUUUUGUUCCACCUUUGCCCCCUUAGUUUCGGCUACCGUUGCUAUGUUCCAUAAUUGAGCGCUUCUAACACGAUCGGGGUUGUUACGGGGACCCACUUGAUAAUUCGUUUUAGAUUAAAGCUGGUCUCGCAAGGCCCAACAUUGGUACUUCAUUUGCCCAACAUAAUAACUCUGUUAAAUUGAAAUGCACAGGGAGUUAGCGCUACCCGAGGAGUAAUUCUAUAUAAUACAGGGAGGGCC